UAGACCAUUGGAUGAUGAUGAGGCC
rnacentral:piRNA from 1 species